GCGAAGUGACGAUGAAAUUCAUGUCUGUCAAUCCACUGAGUUUUCCAGUGAUGUACAUCUUGAAUCCUUAUAGGUUCUGAUCGC